rnacentral:lncRNA from 1 species
UUAUUUCAGCACUAAAUCAUGAAGGCUGGAUUCUUGAAGCCUGGCAGAGGCAAAUGUCUCAUUAAUGCUGAUCUGAGAGACAUCUGUGAUGAGCCUGAACAUCAGGCCAAUCUGCAGAGCUGAUCAGGGGCUGCUGAGUGGUUCUGAAGUGAGUCAGGCUGUGAAUGAAGACUCCACCAGAAUGAGGAGAAUUCCAUGCAUGGAGAUUCAAAUAAAGACAAAA